rnacentral:ncRNA from 1 species
CGUCUCUACUACCGAUUGAAUUAUUUAGUGAGGUCUCCGGACGUGAUCACUGUAACGCAUUUUAUGUGUUGCGGAUGUUUCGCAAAAGUUGACCGAACUUGAUUAUUUAGAGGAAGUGAAAGUCGUA